CAGGAUUCAUGACUUAUAUAGCAACUCCCAUGAGUCGCUAAAGGUUUUCUCCUAUGGCCACUCUUGUUCUGCUCAUCAAAACCAAGGUGAGAAACCACUGUGGCCCCAUGGAAUGACUACUGAAGGUGGGCUCAUGCUUUCUGGGUUUGGGCUGUGCCACUAACUUGCCGUGCAACUUUAUGUAAUUUAUUUACUUUCUCUGGCCACCUAAUGGCUUAUCUGUAAAAAGUAUUUGAAAGCAAAGUCCCUGAAGAUUCUUUUCUAUUUCUGCAAUAAUUUAAAGUGAUUUCUCUGUAUUAUGCUUACGUUUCCUCUCUUCCCUUCAGAAUUAAUCUCCUUCCUCAGAAGCUUAUUAAUUCCAGCUCUGAGUCCUGCAUCUUUCUUGCAUGGUUUCCCUUGCUCCCCCCCCUUCUGUUCUUUUUCCCCCUUGAGGAAAAGGCAGAGAAAGGGAAAGCAAAGAGAGGCAUGCAACAUGAUUGCAAAUAUAGUUACAACUUUUCCUGAUAGCCUCUUUCUCAAUCUGGAGGAAGUUACUUUGGCAACUGUGAAUCCAUUGCUCUGCCUAGGAACUCACUUUAUCCUUCCUUAUUUUAUCUUGGUGGGCAGCUUCUUUCAGAUGAAAAAAAUAAGUGGUUUUCUUCUUGAAAAUUCUUAGAGACCUCCUUUCCCCCCAUAUUUGAAUAUUUGAAAGAACAGUUGAAGCAAACCCACAGGCAACUUAGAGGUAGAAGCACACUGUAGCUUCCUCGGUGAGCAAUUUCUUCCCAUACGGACUACACGUGGACCUUGUUCUUUUCAGAUUGUUGGUUCUGUACCAGUCUGCAAUGCCCUCUCUUAAAUGUGAAAUUUGUCUACAGUCUACAGCUUCCCCUUCCAAACAUUAGUCUUCCCCUGAUAACAUGACUAGUUUUUCUGCAUUGUCCCUGUGACCAAUCCUAGUCCUAGAAAGAGGAGUAGUUAUGGAAUGGAGAGGCAGUUUGAGGGUGGGUUCUGGGGAAAUGCACAGCACAGAUGGAAGCAGAAGUGGUGCUGGGGUAGGAUAGGGCCAGGUCAACACGGCAGGAGGCGGGAGACCCAGUUAGGGCUGUGCACAGAUCUGGCCUGAGGCUAGUCCCAGGUCUCUGUCAGGAUGGGGUUGAACAGGAAGCAUCAUUGGGGCCAGUCUGGAUGAGACUAGGUGUAGAUGCCCUCCUUUGAAGCUGCCAGCACCCCUUUGGAGUUCUCAUUGUGGCACAGUGGAAAUGAAUCUGACUAGUAUCCAUGAAGAUGCAGGUUUGAUCCCUGGCCUUGCUCAGUGGGUUAAGGAUCCGGUGUUGCUGUGAGCCAUGAUGUAGGUCAUAGACGCAGCUCAAAUCUGAUAUUGCUAUGGCUCUGGCAUAGGCUGGUGGCUACAGCUCUGAUUUGACCUCUAGCCUGGAAACCUCCAUAUGCC
rnacentral:lncRNA from 1 species